rnacentral:rRNA from 1 species
AAUGGGCGAAAGCUGACACAGCGACGCCGCGUGGGGAUGAAGGCUUUCGGGUAGUAAACCCCUUUUAUCAGGAAGAAUAAUGACGGUACCUGAGGAAUAAGUCUCGGCUAAUACGUGCCAGCAGCCGCGGUAAUACGUAGGAGACGAGCGUUAUCCGGAUUUACUGGGCGUAAAGAGGGCGUAGGCGGUUUUUCAAGUCGGAUGUGAAAUCUCCCGGCUCAACCGGGAGGGGCCAUUCGAUACUGUUGGGCUAGAGGGCAGCAGAGGGARGUGGAAUUCCCGGUGUAGUGGUGAUAUGCGUAGAUAUCGGGAGGAACACCAGUGGCGAAGGCGGCUUCCUGGGCUGUUUGUGACGCUGAGGCCCKAAAGCGUGGGGAGCGAACAGGAUUAGAUACCCUGGUAGUCCACGCURUAAACGAUGGACACUAGGUAUGGGGAGUAUCGACCCUUUCCGUGCCGAAGUAACGCUUUAAGUGUCCCG